AACCCAGAUUAAUGUCCUAGCUUAACUUUCUAAUUAACCCCAUGGUAAAGUUUGGUAUCAAAUAUUCGCGCGAGCGCAUAUUCAGGAAAAAUAAACAUACUAAUGCCACAUAAAUAUAUCAGAUGUGAAUAAAUAAAUAAAUAUCUACAGGGAUGGGAACGGCACCAGUAGCCACCUCCCUCAGACCUUACUUGACUUGGGGGUAACUCUAGAGCACAGAAAAUAUCUCAGUUGUCCCUAUCCAUUCGGUCAACACCUGCGUACUUAUCCCUCCUAGCUUAAGCUUCUUGAGCCUGUCAUGUACGAGGGAGCAUGCUAUAAAAGCCCAGAUAGAGGCCUCUGAUCAUCACCAAAACUGAGCACUCCUUUUCUGCCUCUUCGGUCUCUUCUCUGCUCAGUAAUUAGUGCAAAAAACUGCUGAAGCUGGGAGGCUGGAAAGUAGCUAGUAGUACUAGUAGAUUGGAGGAGGCGUCGAAUCGAUUCAGAGGUUGCGGAGGAGGAAAAAGGUUUUAAUUAGUAUCAUCCCCGUCCUCACCGCCGUCGAUCGCUAGCGUCGUCCCCUAGCCGGCACCGUACAACCUCGAUGAGUCGACAAUGGAUGUACGGUGACCGAUGCCAUCCCGAGUUCAUUACUGGCAUGCAUUAUUUUCUCAACGUGGCUGAGGCAAACAGCGAGUCGAAUGGUUUCAUGUAUUGUCCAUGUAGUUCCUGUAAGAAUAUGAAGGAUUACUCUACCUCGAAGACCCUUCACGUCCACCUGCUGGAGAAUGGUUUCAUGCCCAGCUAUAAUUGUUGGACCAAGCACGGAGAAAGAGGGGUUAUAUUGGAAGACAACGAAGAAGAAGAGGAUAGUGACAACUAUCCCAGCUUAUUCACUGAAGACGGUGGUAGUAGAAUGGGGGAAGACGAAGCUGAAGAAGAGCUCAUUUUCGAUGAGCCGAUUUUUGAUGACCCGGAUGACGAUUUGGGUCGGGCCAUUCUUGAUGCGAAGAUGAACUGCGGAAAUGAAAAGGAGAGGUUGAAGUUGGAGAAAAUGUUAGAGGAUCACAACAAACUGUUGUACCCAAAUUGCGAAA